rnacentral:misc_RNA from 1 species
GGAAACUUCAAUGCCAUAUUAUCUCCGUGUGCGCGAGUCUAUUCAGAAGCUCAGUGCACCUCGGAAAGCAAUCUACCUUUGAUAUGCGCACUUAACUUUCCAUUUAUACUUGUGAAUUCUAAGAUCGAGCAGUCAAACUUUUAGUCAGUAAGCCAGAACGAGGUAUUCCUGCUGCAGCAAGGGGACAACGGUCGGUCUCUGACCCUCUCUGGGGUUACCAUAGAAGCCAACCCAGUAACUCAAGACGAGUUUUGCUAUAGACGUAUUGCUAGAGUUAAGGGAAUCUUUGCUUCUUGUAGCUGACGUAAAUCAAAAUACGCCUUAAUAAUGAAAAGAAGAGAUAAGGAACAAUGUCCUUCGACCGAGGGAGAGAUGAAGCCUAAUAGACAAAACUUGUUUUCCCAGCAGUUACGCUCACCCUUAUGUCUAGUUCAUUUGAGUUUCAUGGUGUUGGCUCAGGUGAUGCAGUCUCUAGGAUCUCCUCUAGGCGUUAUUCAACAAACAUUUGCUAUUCAACCUGCGGACAGGACAGCUAUUAAAGGUGACAAAAUAGUUCUGCCGUGUCGAGUGCUGCAUAAGAAAGGGACUUUACAGUGGACGAGAGAUGGUUUCGGACUCGGUUCGGAAAGAUCACUAGCUGGAUUUCCCCGUUAUACCAUGGUCGGCAGCGAUGAGGAAGGAGACUUUUCACUUCAAAUUACUAAUGUCAGCCUUGAAGAUGAUGCCGUGUUUCAGUGUCAAGUAGGGGCUUCUGAUGGUGUGAAGGGUAUCAGAUCUCGAAGCGCAGUCUUUACAGUUUAUGUUCCUCCGGAACCUCCUCGAAUACUACAGCGCGAUUUUCUGGAGACAACUUCUGGUAUGGCAGUGGAACUAACAUGCGAAUCUAAUGGAGGGAAACCGGCUGCAGAGUUGGCUUGGUUGGACGGAGAAGGUAACGUGGUCACAGAGAAUAUCGAGUUCAAUACUAAACUUCUUGGUGAUAACAAAAGAGCCAAUGCUGCACUCAAAUGGACUUUUAAACCAAGGCGGGAACAUGACGGAAAGUCGUUUUCAUGUCGGUCUGAGAACCCUGCUCUAAAGCAACCGAGGGUGGCAAUAAUCAAACUUGCAGUCAAAUAUCCCCCUGAAGUUACCUUAACGGCAAACAGAAAAAAAAUCACGGAGUUCGAUGAUGUGCAAUUCACUUGUGACGCCGUCGCAAAUCCAGGGGAUGUAAAAUACAAGUGGUACAGGAAUGACGAGCUAAUAAAGGACGACCACGUCACUACACUCACCAUACGUAAAGUGACAAGACAACUUAAUGGACAAACAGUCAGCUGUGAAGUGAGCAACAAAAUAGGAACAACAAAGUCCACUUAUACUUUAAAUAUAUAUUAUGGUCCGGUGUUUAAAUCAUCUUUGGAAAACAUAGCAGCAGAUCCUGACAAAGAAGUACGGCUGGUUUGUGCUGUUGAUGGUAAUCCUCCCCCUAAAAUUACUUGGACGUUUGAGAAGAGCUCCCAGAUCAUUGGAACAGAUAGGAUUUUGAUUCUUCCCCGAGUGACACCAGACAAAACUGGGAGAUACACCUGUAAAGCUUCAGUACCAGGGUUUCCAGAGCUGUCUUCAGACUCCUUGGUUUUUAUUAAAGGACCCCCCUUGAUAAAAAGUCCUGCUGUUCAGUAUGGUAUCGAGGGACAGCAGGUGAAAGUGGAGUGUUCAAUCACGUCAGUACCAGAACCCUCCCGUGUUGUUUGGAUCAAACAGUCACAGGUAGUAGAUAUAGACAACUCUGAGGGCUACGAGAUCGUGACAGAGCCGCUACUGGACGGACUCAGAAACGUCCUCAUCAUCCACAAGGCGGAAGAGAAUGACUUUGGAGACUAUAACUGCUCAGCUUGGAACUCUUUAGGCCAUGACAGUAUGCUAAUAUCCGUCAAAAGACAAACAUGUGAUGAUGUUGGCGGGGGUGUGCCGACCAUACUUUGCUCUGUGACAGAGAGUCUUCCUAUGUUGAUCAUCUUGGCUGGUGUGAUAGGAGGCAUCGUUCUUAUUGUUUCUGUUACCAUAGUGAUUAUUCUUUGUCUCCGUAGAAAGCCUACACCUAAAGGUAAUGAAUUUGGAACAGAUAACAAAGCAAAGCAGUCUGAUUCAGCGUCAUCCGGCGAUUCUGACCUUAAGGUGGAAAUACGAACAGCCUCAUCCUUAUCAAAUAAUGAACAUGAAAGGAGUUGGGAGGAAACGAGUGAUACAACACGUGUACAUGAUCCUCCAGAUAUCUACAAAUACAACAUGGACUACACCGAACCAAGAUUUCCUCCAAAACUGGAGACCCAGAAUAAUAAUGGGUACAUUCCCUAUGUGGACUAUUCCCGAGACUACAAUCCUCCCUCAGCUCACCUAAAUUCUAGUCGAGAUAGUGGACUUUAUGACAGUUCUCCCCAACUCCUUAAUGACCUGGGCCAUCCAUUGGAUCCCAACUUCCGAGCAGCUUAUGCUAACCCGUACAGGAGGACUUCUCAGGCUAAUCUACCCCCAGAUCAGGGCCUUUACGGAAGCACCAGGGGUAACAGUCCUACCCCUCAAGUACCCUCUCUGCCUUCUAAUCAUUACAUCACUAGCCAAAACCUCCCAUGUCACCUGAAACCCGGAACUUUAGCGACCCAUGUUUGACAGUGGGAGGAAAGUGUGCUGUGACUUAACAGUAUACUGUCGUUGCUCAGAGGCCGGUUCAUACACACCAACAGCUUAACUGGCCCAUUUAAUACUCAUGUUUGUCACUACAGCGGGCUUCCUUGUCCGAUUUUACUGGUCAGUAUGCAGCGUCAGCGACUAACUGUUGCGAUUAUGAACAAAUAACGUUACAACAGGCGGUGUUCAUCGCCAGUGGUCAGAUCUGUGAGUAGUACAAACUCUAGCCAGACUUCCCAAAUGUUUACUUGAAGAAUGACAAUCCUGGUCGUUAGCCUGUGAUAGGAAAUUUGAAGAAAUUAAAAUGUACGUUUGGAAACUACUGGGAAACCAGUGACCCUGUGACAUCACUGAUGUCACCUUCCCAUCUAUGCAAUAAGUUUUUCUUCGUGGAAUAUAUAUAACCAUGUUGAUCCAGAUCUUAACAUUUUCCCACACCUUGUGAUCAGCUGCCUUUUUAUCGUGGUGCUGUAGCCUGUGACUUAGACCCUCGCUAGACUGUAGAUGUAUCAUGAACUAUAACCUAACCAACUGGAUCAUUUUAUGAUAGAAUAAACCCUAAAUAGCUGUUUGGACCUUAUCUUCAAACACUGCCAUUUUCACGGCAAGUUGGUAACCUAUCAGUAUUGUCCAGCACUGGUGUGUGUGUUUGUUUGGAAAAAGAAAACAGUAUUAGAAAAUCCU